AGUCACGUAGGCAGAGGGAGCAGGUUUUGCCCCUCCCUCAGGAAUGUAUCCAGCUCAGGUUACAACUCAAUGUCACCUGAGAGAGGGACGUCUGCCCUCUGCAGGGACCAUGCUUACCAAAUAGUCACAU